rnacentral:rRNA from 1 species
CAGGACGAACGCUGGCGGCGUGCCUAACACAUGCAAGUCGAGCGAGGAGAUCCUUCGGGAUGAUCCUAGCGGCGGACGGGUGAGUAACACGUGGGCAACCUGCCUCAUAGAGAGGAAUAGCCUUCCGAAAGGGAGAUUAAUACCUCAUAACAUUGCAGUUUCGCAUGGAACAGCAAUUAAAGGAGCAAUCCGCUAUGAGAUGGGCCCGCGGCGCAUUAGCUAGUUGGUGAGGUAACGGCUCACCAAGGCGACGAUGCGUAGCCGACCUGAGAGGGUGAUCGGCCACAUUGGGACUGAGACACGGCCCAGACUCCUACGGGAGGCAGCAGUGGGGAAUAUUGCACAAUGGGGGAAACCCUGAUGCAAGCAACGCCGCGUGAGUGAUGACGGCCUUCGGGUUGUAAAGCUCUGUCUUCAGGGACGAUAAUGACGGUACCUGAGGAGGAAGCCACGGCUAACUACGUGCCAGCAGCCGC